rnacentral:rRNA from 1 species
AGAGUUUGAUCCUGGCUCAGGACGAACGCUGGCGGCACGCUUAACACAUGCAAGUCGAACGAGAGAAGAGAAGCUUGCUUUUCUGAUCUAGUGGCGGACGGGUGAGUAACACGUGAGCAAUCUGCCUUUCAGAGGGGGAUACCGAUUGGAAACGAUCGUUAAUACCGCAUAACAUAAUUGAACCGCAUGAUUUGAUUAUCAAAGAUUUAUCGCUGAAAGAUGAGCUCGCGUCUGAUUAGCUAGUUGGUAAGGUAACGGCUUACCAAGGCGACGAUCAGUAGCCGGACUGAGAGGUUGAUCGGCCACAUUGGGACUGAGACACGGCCCAGACUCCUACGGGAGGCAGCAGUGGGGAAUAUUGCACAAUGGAGGAAACUCUGAUGCAGCGAUGCCGCGUGAGGGAAGAAGGUUUUAGGAUUGUAAACCUCUGUCUUCAGGGACGAAAAAAGACGGUACCUGAGGAGGAAGCUCCGGCUAACUACGUGCCAGCAGCCGCGGUAAUACGUAGGGAGCGAGCGUUGUCCGGAAUUACUGGGUGUAAAGGGAGCGUAGGCGGGAUCGCAAGUCAGAUGUGAAAACUAUGGGCUUAACCCAUAAACUGCAUUUGAAACUGUGGUUCUUGAGUGAAGUAGAGGUAAGCGGAAUUCCUAGUGUAGCGGUGAAAUGCGUAGAUAUUAGGAGGAACAUCAGUGGCGAAGGCGGCUUACUGGGCUUUAACUGACGCUGAGGCUCGAAAGCGUGGGGAGCAAACAGGAUUAGAUACCCUGGUAGUCCACGCCGUAAACGAUGAUUACUAGGUGUGGGGGGACUGACCCCUUCCGUGCCGCAGCAAACGCAAUAAGUAAUCCACCUGGGGAGUACGACCGCAAGGUUGAAACUCAAAGGAAUUGACGGGGGCCCGCACAAGCAGUGGAGUAUGUGGUUUAAUUCGACGCAACGCGAAGAACCUUACCAAGUCUUGACAUCCUGCGACGAUGCUGGAAACAGUAUUUUCCUUCGGGACGCAGAGACAGGUGGUGCAUGGUUGUCGUCAGCUCGUGUCGUGAGAUGUUGGGUUAAGUCCCGCAACGAGCGCAACCCUUACUGUUAGUUGCUACGCAAGAGCACUCUAGCAGGACUGCCGUUGACAAAACGGAGGAAGGUGGGGAUGACGUCAAAUCAUCAUGCCCUUUAUGACUUGGGCUACACACGUACUACAAUGGCGUUAAACAAAGAGAAGCAAGACCGCGAGGUGGAGCAAAACUCAGAAACAACGUCCCAGUUCGGACUGCAGGCUGCAACUCGCCUGCACGAAGUCGGAAUUGCUAGUAAUCGUGGAUCAGCAUGCCACGGUGAAUACGUUCCCGGGCCUUGUACACACCGCCCGUCACACCAUGAGAGCCGGGGGGACCCGAAGUCGGUAGUCUAACCGCAAGGAGGACGCCGCCGAAGGUAAAACUGGUGAUUGGGGUGAAGUCGUAACAAGGUAGCCGUAGGAGAACCUGCGGCUG